GGCAGCAACAGAGCAGCAGCAGCAACACAGAACUUCAUCUCCUCUGCUUUGUAUGUUUAAUGGUACUGAUUUUCCUCUCACCUGCUUUUUUGUCUUCAUUUUGAUAAGUUUACCUAGUUAUUUGGCAUGACUGACGUCCUGGAGCAAUAAAUUCCAAGACCAAACUGCAUAACAAGAUUUAUAACUACUACUUCCUGAUACAGGCAAAUCCUUUUAUAAGGCUAAUGAAACUGCAUCCCUUGGUAUAAAUGUACUCAUGACUUUAUCCCAUAUAACAUCCAGCCCUACAAUAUCACAGUAGUCCACAGCAGCAUAGCAAAACAGUGCAUGGUAUGGAGAAGCAGGCUUUCCUGUGAAAGAAAAGAAGACCCAUGGAAGAAAAAAGGAGUGUUGUAGUUGGUGCUGUGGCAUCACAGUGUUCAUGUUUGUGAGAAGAAUGCAAUUCCAAACCAGGUCCUUGCUCCAGCUGCCAUAUUAGCAUGUACAGAGCUGAGAAUCAUCACUGGUGGGGAAAGAAGAAAGGAUUAAGAAAAAAAAAAGAAAAAAAUGGGACAAAUUUGCACGUUUAUUAAGAUUAAGAAUGGAGGCCUACUGACAUCUUGCAACUCUGGAAAAGCCAAGGCAGCACCAGGAUUCAGGUACAAUGGCCGUGCUCACUGGCCCAGCAUGGUGGCGUUCCAUGGGCACCAGCAAAGUUAUUGCUUGCUAAGACAUCUGACACAAAAUUUCCCAGUGGUAGCAGAGGAGCCCAUCAGCUCCCCUAGUCAUCUCUUGUAAGAUGCAAGAGACUGUAGUACUCUCCAGCUCUUUGCUUCUUUGGAUAAGUGCUCUCACACCCUUUUGAUCCAUUGCUACACAGAGUUUUGGUUGUCUUUCCACUUGCACAGUCCUAACAUGUUGGGUUUCAUUCUUUCAUCUUCACGGUAUUUUGAUUCUUUGCCUUUAGGCCAAAGAUCCAUCCAUAGAACUCUAGAUAAGCAAAAUCUGCUCUAGUAUGUGUAAUGGUUAUAUAUUGGCUCUAAACAAGCACAGUUUGUCUCCCUGGGAACAGCUAGAUAUAGGCAACCUUAUUCAAGAGCAGCCUGUUACCUUCAGCAGACUCAGGUGAGAUGUAAAGCCACGUGGGAUGAAAGCUAAAGAUUUCUUAUUGUGCCUCUAUGCAGGUAUUUGUCAGUAUUACUUCAACAGGCAGUUUUAACAGGAGGAGCAUCAAAUCUGGAGAUUGUAUUUCAUUUUUUUAUAGAUGCUAAUAAUAGCAUUCUGGGAAUAUGCAUGUCAUUUCAAUGCAAACAGCCCUGUUCUGUGCAAACUUGCCUUCUGACCAGGAAGAUAAUGCACAUUUUUAACAGCAAGGUUAAUUGGGUAAUAAAACAAAUUUUUAAUGGUAAUCUAGUUAAUUUCCAGCAUUUGUGGACUGUAAUCUAGACUGAAAGUAAUCUGACUCUCCAUCAGGAGUUAUAGUUCUGGCAGUGAAAGCACUUGGUAAAACAGGAUUUGUUUUGUAGUAGGUGAAACUCAAUUAUGGCUUUGACUCUGUGAAACCAAUUCUGUCUGAAUGAACAGUAAACCAAUUUCUGUUAGUUCAUGUUGAGUACUUUCACUCUACAAUUCCAAAAGCAGAACAGCUUGUUUAAAUCUGAAAUGAUGAGUUUCCCCAAUUCCCCUGAAUAAAAGGCGGAAUGCUGAAUCCACUGAAGUAUUCCCAUGUGAGCUUAAUGCACUGUAUGGCAAACAAAACAUGAAAAAGUAAAGUCAGCAUAAAAUCCUACAAGUCAGAGGCAAAUGGGGUUGCAUGAAUGCAUGAGUC